AAGGGCACCACAAGAACGCGUGGAGCAUGUGGCUUAAUUUGACUCAACGCGGGAAAUCUUACCGGGUCCGGACACACUGAGGAUUGACAGACAAAUACACACACUUUUACGGUGUGCAUGAAAUAUGCUAGUUCUUUCAUGAUUAUGUGAUAGGUGGUGCAUGGCCGUUCUUAGUUCGUGGAGUGAUCUGUCUGCUUAAUUGCGUUUCACUAAAGGCACAUACACAUAAUAUUGAUGUGUUGUGUGUAUAAUUUAUAAUUAUAUCGCAUACACACAUAUUAUAUUGUGCUUUGAAAGCAACGAACGUGACCGCAACCUCUUGUUGCCUGUAUAUAUGUGUAUUUUAUACACACCACAGGCUAUUAUAACUAGAGGGACCGCUGUUACUUUCUUUUAAACCAGAGGAAGGUUGCGGCAAUAACAGGUCUGUGAUGCCCUUAGAUGUUCCGGGCUGCACACGUGCUACAAUGAUCAUUGCAGUGCGCAUCUCAUUUUGUUAUACACUGCUUGUGCGUAUGUGCACCAUAUAUUUAUAUGUGUGUGUAUGUAUUGCACGCAGUAAAGCCUACUUCGAAAGUUGUGGGUAAUCAAUUUGAAGUAAUGAUUUCUCCAAAUAUAUACUGCACACUCAUAUACAGUGUCUUAUGUCCAUGAAAAUAUUUUAUAUUUUUGUGUGUGCAUUCGAUGCUCGUAUGUGCAAUUGUCAAUUCAUGGUGGGGACAGACCAUUGUUAAUUGUUGGUCUCGGUCUUAACUAGGAAUGCCUUGUACGGGUCUUUGGUUCAACAAACCACCCGGAAUACGUCCCUGCCCUUUGUACACACCGCCCGUCGCUCUUACCGAUGGACUUCUCUGUGAGUUUGAGGGACUGGAUUUUAUAUCUAUGGAAACUCAAACGAACAGUGUGGUCUAAAGGAAAGAGAAGUCGUAACAAGGCAUCCGUAGGUGAACCU
rnacentral:rRNA from 1 species